AUGGUCGGCCGGAUGGAGCGGCAGACGGUGUCGACGUCCUCCGCGUCCUGCUCCCCCUCCGCCGCCUCCUCCUCCUCCUCCUCCUGCGGCGGACGUAAGCGGCCCGACAUACUCAACAUGAUCCGGAGUGCAGCAUGUCUUAAUUCAUCAUCUACUGAUACUGGCAAGGGGCGGAGUAAGCAAUCGAGCACCAAGGUGACGCAUGGAUUCCACUUGGUUGAAGGGAAAUCUGGCCAUGACAUGGAGGACUACCAUGUAGCAGAGUACAAGUGCGAUAAGAACCAUGAGCUUGGCCUCUUCGCCAUUUUCGACGGCCAUCUGGGUGAUCGUGUGCCCAGUUACUUGAGAGCUAACCUUUUCUCCAACAUACUCAAAGAGCCUCUCUUCUGGACCGACCCUCAAGAAGCGAUUAAAAAUGCAUAUGGCUCUACAAACAAAUAUAUUCUGGAAAAUGCCAAGCAACUUGGACCAGGCGGCUCAACAGCAGUUACUGCUAUUGUAGUUGAUGGCAAGGAUAUGUGGAUAGCAAACGUAGGUGACUCGAGGGCCGUUUUAUGUGAACGGGGUGCUGCUAAUCAGAUCACCGUGGACCAUGAACCCCAUAUAUCUAAUGAAAGGCAGAGGAUUGAACAGCAGGGUGGCUUUGUCACAACAUUUCCUGGUGAUGUCCCUCGCGUAAAUGGCCAACUCGCUGUCGCAAGGGCGUUCGGUGACCAUAGCCUCAAGACACACUUGAGUUCGGAACCUGACAUUAGGCAUGUACCCAUAAACUCAAGUAUAGAGUUCGUCAUACUUGCCAGCGAUGGAUUAUGGAAGGUGAUGAAGAACCAGGAAGCUGUGGACCUCGUGAAGUCGACAAAGGACCCUCAGGCAGCAGCAAAGCGGCUGACGACCGAGGCGCUCGCGAGGAAGAGCAAGGACGACAUCUCCUGCAUCGUCAUCCGCUUCCGCUGCUGA
rnacentral:rRNA from 1 species